UCAGAUUUUAUUGUGAUCUGAAGCAGUAAUGGUAUUUUCUUUCUCCAAAGGACUGAAAACUUUAUAAGAAUAAAAACUACCACUUUAAUAACUCAUUUUGCAGUAAUAAGGCUGUUUUUGUGUGAUCUACUCCCAUACAAACAGAAAACCGCAGUGUCUCUUUAACAGAGCGCUUUCUGCAGAGUGAGAAGUCUCUGAGAGAGAGUCUCUGUGCCCAAGCAGCCCCCGCCCCUCCUUCCAGCUGGCUGAGCUCGACACCUGAUUGGCUGACAGGCCUCAUUUGCAUAUCCCCACGUCCAGUAGAGUCUGCUGAGUAAUCUGACACCGGAAACUCGGCGAUGCGUCGAAUAAAACGCUUUUAAUAAGGAGUUAAAGUUAAUAUUAAUGUCUUUCUGCCUGAAAUGAUUUCAAGCACUGAUUCGAUAUAAAUGGGGAUUAAAGGAGACUGGAUUGACGGAUUCUCUUAAGUUUGGACUCGUUUUGAAGGGAGUUCUGCCCUGACAUCUGAACACUUCAUGGUUGCAGUUGAUCAGACCAUCGUAAAUGGAAAUCUUACAGAUUUUGGCGAUGCCCUGGUACUGAUGUUUGCAACAUACUACUGCCUCAACAUCAGUUAUCCAGCAGAAAUGGCAGCAACUCUGGAAUUCUUGCAGAGGUGCCUUUUCAAGAUCAACCCGGACAAGGGGAGCAAAGUGGAGAAAAGGGAGUCCAAGAAAACACUAUCCAUCAAUCCCAAAGUUCUGUCAUUGAUCACCAAUAUUGCAGACUUUGAAUGGAGAGAGUAAAAGGCAUCUCGCACAAAUUUUCAGAGAGACACAUGGACACUGACACACACGUUGUAGAGAGUACAACAAAAGCAGGCACCAGUUUUUUUUUUAUGUUAAGUUUUAAGACAGUUGCCUGUGAAAAGUAUAAAAAAGGAUAUGCAUUCCGAGCAUGUUUGAUGGUUGCCCUUUUUCCUUUGGUUGGAGUUCUUUAGGGGGAUUAUGUUGAUUUGUUGGGGCUUAUGUGUUGUAUAUGCGCGAGUUGAAUUUUUUUAUUCACCCUCCUGAGUUUGGAGUGAAGGGUGGAUGGCCCAGCUUUGUUUCUCUGCCACCUGUGACACUAUAGUAUUUUACAUUUUUUCUAACUGAUUAAAAAAUUCUCACUAUUUUUCACAUUGAUAUUACAUACAAGUGGGUCGGCAUUAAAUAACAUUUUUAUUGUUGCGUAGUUUAUAAUUACUA